ACUGAACUACGGUCCGAUAAUUUUAUUUUUACUAUCUAGUUUUUUUAGUUUAUUUAAUUUGAGCCAGUCUAUUACACAUUGAUUUCAAAAUUUAAGCUAAUUACUUAUUUUAAUAAACUAGUAAUUGCAAGAACUGUAGGAAGUAUACUAUCUAGACCUAGAUAGAUAAAUAACGCAUUAAAAUUUUAAAAUUAAAAUAUUGUUGGCCGACUCAAAUUAAUCAAAUUAAAAGUUUGAAUGCUAAAUAGUCCAGAAAAGUUAUGUAUAUUUUUGCUUUUAU
rnacentral:lncRNA from 1 species